rnacentral:rRNA from 1 species
UACGUAGGCAGCAAGCGUUGUUCGGAGUUACUGGGCGUAAAGGGUGCGUAGGCGGACUUAUAAGUCAGUGGUGAAAUCUCGAUGCUUAACAUCGAACGUGCCAUUGAUACUGUAGGUCUUGAGUACAGAUGCCGUUGGCGGAAUGUGUCAUGUAGCGGUGAAAUGCAUAGAUAUGACACAGAACACCGAUGCGAAGGCAGCUGACGAAACUGUAACUGACGCUGAGGCACGAAAGCGUGGGGAUCAAACAGG